UCUCUCUUUGUAACUCCAAAUUCAGUGGGGUUUGAUUAUGUGGAAAGAUAACUCGAUUACGGUCAUUUCGGUAGCCGUUUGGUGAAUUAUGGAUCCAAAUUGAGUUGUAUGCGAAGCUUUGAAGUUGUGAGUCGAAAGCAGAUUUUUUGCAGAAUUUUGGGGGACAUACCCUCACUAAAACGGUAAUUAAUCUCUCUUUGUAACUCCAAAUUCAGUGGGGUUUGAUUAUGUGGAAAGAUAACUCGAUUACGGUCAUUUCGGUAUCCUUUUGGCAAAUUAUUGAUCAAAAUUGAGUUGUGUGCGAAGCUUUAAAGUUGUGACUCGAAAGCAGAAUUUUAGGGGGGGCAAAAUCCAACAAAUUAUAAAACAGAGGGGGUAAAAGUCCGCGUUUAAAAACAGGGGGGGUAAAAUUCCGAUUUAAUC
rnacentral:lncRNA from 1 species